rnacentral:lncRNA from 1 species
GUUAAGUAACUGUACAUUACAUAUCUGGUAGGUUAUUACUGUUAGUAAACAACUUACAAUUAGUUUUUUUCUUUGUAUAUUCUGUUUCAUUAAAGAACAAAUCCUAAACUUUUGAUAUUCAGGGAUUGUUUUAUAUAUGUGUAUAUUGACUGAAAGAGAGAUAUAUUUUGUCAAAUACAGUGGAACCUGUCAAAAGUAGGUAAACCUUGCCACGUUACCAUUUGUUAUGUAACACAAAUAUUGAACAAAUGAAGGACUGUCUUCGUAAGUCGUUUUAUCAUACUAUCUGCUAACUAUCUCACAAAUAACCUGGCUGUAUUGAAGACCCAUUGGUGGCCUUCAGCUGUGUUCUGCUCUCUGAUCGGGUUGUUUUCUCUUUGACACAUUCCCCUUUUCCAUUCUCAAUUUUAAAUAAAUGUUUACUUUGUUUAUACUUAUUCAAAGAGAGGCUUCUACAAGGUUGUAGAGGUAAAAUUGUUACUUUUGUGACAAAGGCAAUAAUUCUAACUUUCAUUUAGGAUCCUCUUUGCUUUCUUCUUUCAAGCCUAGUUAAUUUUUAUACAAAUGUUAUGAACUAUAGAAAUAAAUGUUGCUGCCUGAUUUCUAAACUAAAUCGCAGAGUAUGUAUCCUUCUCAAGCCCUUCAUUUAUUUGUGAAGGAGUUCAAAUUUUAUUUUUUUCAACAGUAUACAUAUGUUUAUCUUUACAAGAUAUCAAUUUAAGCAGUUUUUU